rnacentral:rRNA from 1 species
UAGGGAAUCUUCGGCAAUGGGGGGAACCCUGACCGAGCAACGUCGCGUGAGUGAAGAAGGUUUUCGGAUCGUAAAGCUCUGUUGUUAAGGAAGAACGAGUGUGAGAAUGGAAAGUUCAUACUGUGACGGUACUUAACCAGAAAGGGACGGCUAACUACGUGCCAGCAGCCGCGGUAAUACGUAGGUCCCGAGCGUUGUCCGGAUUUAUUGGGCGUAAAGCGAGCGCAGGCGGUUAGAUAAGUCUGAAGUUAAAGGCAGUGGCUCAACCAUUGUAGGCUUUGGAAACUGUUUAACUUGAGUGCAGAAGGGGAGAGUAGAAUUCCAUGUGUAGCGGUAAAAUGCGUAGAUAUAUGGAGGAACACCGGUGGCGGAAGCGGCUCUCUGGUCUGUAACUGACGCUGAGGCUCGAAAGCGUGGGGAGCGAACAGG